rnacentral:lncRNA from 1 species
UUUUUUUUUUUUUUUUGCUCCAUAGCAAAACAGUUUAUAUUUUUACAUUUGUUUAAAUAUAUUUUUCUAAUUUUCGAGUCUCUAAACCAGGCUAAUAAGGAUAUUGUACGGAACCACUUCAUCCAUUCUGAAGGAUUUUGAUAGCACUACUAUUUCCUUCUAUUUAAGGUAUAAUUGACAGCACAGUCUCAGAGCAACGACAGGUUGUAGCUGUAACGGGUGAUGGUACAAAUGACGGGCCUGCACUGAAGAAAGCAGACGUUGGCUUUGCAAUGGUAGGAACCCAUGCUAAUGUUUACAUACAGCUUGCUGUCUAGGAGACUGUCUGCUUUGUUUGUUUGUUUGUUUGUUGCCAAAAUUGCUAUCGAUUUGAAACAAUGUUCCUCAAAAUUAGUUUUAAAAGAUGUAAGUGAAUUUAUAGCUCUAACUAUUUUAUAUGCUACCUUUAUUAGAUACUAUCAAGUCUGGCCAGAAGAUGAUUUCUUUGAACAGCUGUAACUGUGUACAUUUGCUUUGUACUCUGAGACAUGUUUAAACAUUAUUCCCCUCGCCGGCAUCUUACAGCCACCUUCUUAAACAGACUCAUAAGAAUGGUGACCUAACUAAUGGCUUUUAAAGAGUACCUGAAUGUCAUCAUUUUAUGUAGCGAUUCAGUCACCUUCAUGAAUAGAUACUGCGUUUCAUUAUGGCAGCCUUACUCAUGCAUAUGACAUACUCUGCUCAUAUCCACACAAAUCAGCCCUCUCUCACUCCCCCUCCCCCUCCACUAGGCCUUCACCAUCCACCCUCUUCUACUCGGAUGCCUUACAUAGUUUUUCUAUCUAGAUUCCACAUACAAGAGAUUUGCUUUAAGUGGGGGAGGUGCCUGCUUUUCCACAAAAUCCUCAACUAAGUGUUUUCUUUACUCUUUGUAUUAGAAAAUAAUGCUAAUUACCAAAACUAAAACAUAACC